ACAUGUUGCUGGGGCGCCAGGAUUUGAACCGUAAGGUUCGACUGGUUCGCGGCGGCGAACCGGAACAGCGGAGCGUAGCGACGCUGGCCCGCAGGGCGAGGGGCGGCAGCCCCGAGUAAUCCUGGCGCCCCAGCCA
rnacentral:sRNA from 1 species